rnacentral:tRNA from 1 species
UGUCAAGGGAUGGGAAUCGAACCCCCGACCUUCCGCCCACCGGGCAGAUGCCAUGACCACUAGGCUACCUGGGAC